rnacentral:rRNA from 1 species
UUAACUCACAUCCACACCGCCAGGGAAUUACGAGCAAUGCUUAAAACCCAAAGGAUUUGACGGUGUCCCACCCCACUAGAGGAGCCUGUUCUAUAAUCGAUGAUCCCCGCUUCACCUAACCAUCCCUCGCCUACCAGUCUGUAUACCUCCGUCGAAAGCUUACCAUGUGAACGCCCGCAGUAAGCUUAAUGAUUUCACCAUCAACACGUCAGGUCAAGGUGCAGCUUAAGGGACGGAAAGUAAUGGGCUACAAUUUCUAAUCUAGAACAAACGAAAGACUAUGUGAAACCCUAGUCAUGAAGGUGGAUUUAGUAGUAAAAAGAAAAUAGAGUGUUCUUUUUAACCCGGCUCUGGGACGCGUACACACCGCCCGUCACCCUCUUCAAUAGUACCCCGUAUGUUCCUAACCCAACACCACGUUUUAGAAGAGGCAAGUCGUAACAUGGUAAGUGUACUGGAAAGUGCACUUGGUAUACUA